rnacentral:rRNA from 1 species
UCAGGAUGAACGCUAGCGGCAGGCUUAACACAUGCAAGUCGAGGGGCAUCGGGAGUAGCAAUACUUGCCGGCGACCGGCGCAAGGGUGCGUAACGCGUGAGCAACAUGCCCGUAUCAGGGGGAUAAUCCAUGGAAACGUGGUCUAAUACCCCAUAGUAAUUAUGUAAGGCAUCUUAUAUAAUUUAAAGCUUUGGUGGAUACGGAUUGGCUCGCGUGACAUUAGCUGGAUGGUAAGGUAACGGCUUACCAUGGCUACGAUGUCUAGGGGUUCUGAGAGGAAGGUCCCCCCACACUGGAACUGAGACACGGUCCAGGCUCCUACGGGAGGCAGCAGUGAGGAAUAUUGGACAAUGGAUGGAAAUCUGAUCCAGCCAUGCCGCGUGCAGGAAAGACGGCCCUAUGGGUUGUAAACUGCUUUUGUAUGGGAGCAAUAAGGGCUACGUGUAGUCCGAUGAGAGUACCAUACGAAUAAGCACCGGCUAACUCCGUGCCAGCAGCCGC